rnacentral:rRNA from 1 species
GACGAACCGUGCGAACGUUGUUCGGAAUCACUGGGCUUAAAGGGCGCGUAGGCGGGCCGCCAAGUCAGGGGUGAAAUCCUCCAGCUCAACUGGGGAACUGCCUUUGAUACUGGCGGUCUAGAGUGGGGUAGGGGCAUGCGGAACAAUGGGUGGAGCGGUGAAAUGCGUUGAUAUCCAUUGGAACUCCGGUGGCGAAAGCGGCGUGCUGGACCUCUACUGACGCUGAUGCGCGAAAGCCAGGGGAGCAAACGGG